rnacentral:rRNA from 1 species
UACGUAGGGGGCAAGCGUUGUCCGGAAUCAUUGGGCGUAAAGCGCGCGUAGGCGGCCCGGUAAGUCCGCUCUGAAAGUCCAGGGCUCAACCCUGGAAUGCGGGUGGAUACUGCCGGGCUAGAGUCCGGAAGAGGCGAGUGGAAUUCCGCGUGUAGCAGUGAAAUGCGUAGAUAUCGGAAGGAACAUCAGUGGCGAAAGCGGCUUCCUGGACCAGCACCGACGUUCAGGCACGAAAGCGUGGGGAGCAAACAGG